CCGGGCGCUGUGCGAAGCUAGAAAUAACUGGGGGCAUGGAGAAUGCGGUGGCUGUAAAGGGCCGCUGAGGCGGUGGAGGCCUGGCAGAGAGCGUCCCCGCGGUCGCGGCUUCUGGCUUCUCUGUGGAGCUUGGUUCUUCCGUGGUGGUGCAGCACCCCAGGAACUUCAGGAACCAGUCCUUCCUUGGAGAGCUCCCCGGGACAGCCACGGGGGCCAAGUGAAACUAGCGCGUUUUCUUGGAUCCUACACUUUAUAGUGAGUCAUAAAUACUUUAAAUACAAAGCCAACAACAUUUGCUGCAAAUAAACGUAAAAAUACUGUUAAAGUGUAAAGUGUUUUCCUCCGUACCAUCUGACGUUUCUGGCGGUUCGUUGAACGCGAGAGAACGCUGAGCCGUCUGCACUGAGCCCGGGAGCAUCUUCAGGGCAGCGCCGCCCACGCGCGAGGUGAAUGAAGGACACGGCCUCUUGACACUCCCAGGCAGCACAGAUAGACGGAUCCAUGAGGAAACUGGGCUCAGAGAAGCUAAGCUAAUUGGCCAAGCCAGAACACAAAGCUCUGUCAGUCUGUCUGCAAUGCUACCUGCAUCCUUAACCCUUGUGGUAACUGUGAUGGUUUAAGGCAAAAACAAGUGCCUCAACCAUGAACCUAGCAAUGAAUGAGGAAAGAAAUCUUUCUUCCCCUACAAUUCUGCUGGGUUUUGCAAUCACACUGUGAGAAACUCUACCCUGAGACGUCAAACCGAGAAAGAAUGCUAUUGGCUCCAAGGUGCGGUUUGGAAGACGACCGACCUCUAUUCCGACCUGGAGGUCAGCUUUGAGGAUGCCUCUGCCUGCCAUCUUUGGGCGUGUUCACAAGGCACAUUUCUUUGAAUAGAUUUCAGCAGCGACGCAUUUUCACUUCUGUGGGGUGGGUGCAAAAGUCAUUCAGAGCUGAGUCUGGUGGAGAGGACGGGUGAUAUGCUGGGAAUACUUUUUGCUUUAAAAAGCAUUUAAAGUACUUAAAUACUUUUUUUUUUUUUUGAGUCAGAGUCUUGCUCUGUACUCCAGCCAGGGUGACAGAGGAAGAUCCUGACUCAAAAAGAAAAAAAAAAGAAAAAGAAAAAGGAAAGAAAAAA
rnacentral:lncRNA from 1 species